rnacentral:rRNA from 1 species
UACGGGGGGGGCAAGCGUUGUUCGGAAUUACUGGGCGUAAAGGGCGCGUAGGCGGCCUUCUAAGUCGGACGUGAAAUCCCUCGGCUUAACCGAGGAACUGCGUCCGAGACUGAAAGGCUUGAAUCCGGGAGAGGGAUGUGGAAUUCCAGGUGUAGCGGUGAAAUGCGUAGAUAUCUGGAGGAACACCGGUGGCGAAGGCGGCAUCCUGGACCGGCAUUGACGCUGAGGCGCGAAAGCUAGGGGAGCAAACGGGG